rnacentral:rRNA from 1 species
GACGAACGCUGGCGGCGUGCCUAAUACAUGCAAGUAGAACGCACAGUUUAUACCGUAGCUUGCUACACCAUAAACUGUGAGUUGCGAACGGGUGGGUAACGCGUAGGUAACCUGCCUGGUAGCGGGGGAUAACUAUUGGAAACGAUAGCUAAUACCGCAUAAUAUUAAUUAUUGCAUGAUAAUUGAUUGAAAGAUGCAAUUGCAUCACUACCAGAUGGACCUGCGUUGUAUUAGCUAGUAGGUGAGGUAACGGCUCACCUAGGCGACGAUACAUAGCCGAACUGAGAGGGUGAUCGGCCACACUGGGACUGAGACACGGCCCAGACUCCUACGGGAGGCAGCAGUAGGGAAUCUUCGGCAAUAGACGAAAGUCUGACCGAGCAACGCCGCGGGAGUGAAGAAGGGUUUCGGAUCGUAAAGCUCUGUUGUAAGAGAAGAACGGGUGUGAGAGUGGAAAGUUCACACUGUGACGGUAGCUUACCAGAAAGGGACGGCUAACUACGUG